rnacentral:rRNA from 1 species
AGAGUUUGAUCCUGGCUCAGGAUGAACGCUGGCUACAGGCUUAACACAUGCAAGUCGAGGGGCAGCAUGCCGGUUGCUUGCAACCGGUGAUGGCGACCGGCGCACGGGUGAGUAACGCGUAUCCAACCUUCCCGCGACCAAGGGAUAACCUGCCGAAAGGCAGACUAAUACCUUAUGUCCUCCUUUGAAGGCAUCUGACGAGGAGCAAAGAUCCGUCGGUCACGGAUGGGGAUGCGUCCGAUUAGCUUGUUGGCGGGGCAACGGCCCACCAAGGCAUCGAUCGGUAGGGGUUCUGAGAGGAAGGCCCCCCACACUGGAACUGAGACACGGUCCAGACUCCUACGGGAGGCAGCAGUGAGGAAUAUUGGGCAAUGGAGGCAACUCUGACCCAGCCAUGCCGCGUGAGUGAAGAAGGUUUUCGGAUUGUAAAGCUCUUUCGGAUGUGACGAUGAUGACGGUAGCAUCUAAAGAAGCCCCGGCUAACUUCGUGCCAGCAGCCGCGGUAAUACGAAGGGGGCGAGCGUUGUUCGGAAUUACUGGGCGUAAAGGGUGUGUAGGCGGUUAUGUAAGAUAGCGGUGAAAUCCCGGGGCUUAACCUCGGAAUAGCCGUUAUAACUAUGUAGCUAGAGUUAUGGAGAGGAUAGCGGAAUACCCAGUGUAGAGGUGAAAUUCGUAGAUAUUGGGUAGAACACCGGUGGCGAAGGCGGCUAUCUGGCCAUAUACUGACGCUGAGGCACGAAAGCAUGGGGAUCAAACAGGAUUAGAUACCCUGGUAGUCCAUGCUGUAAACGAUGAAUGCUGGUUGUCGGCUUUAGGGUCGGUGACGAAGUUAACGCGAUAAGCAUUCCGCCUGGGGAGUACGGUCGCAAG